AGUAACUGGGGGCUCUGCUGCUGGGUGCAGGCGGCCAGUGGGAGGGAUGGGGAUAGAAUGCUGGGCUAUGUGGGCUGUGACUGGAUUCCCCUCCGUGAUCAGAGACCAUGGCAACACCAAAAGGGAGGGUUGAGUGCGAAUCUCCAACCCUGCUCCUGGCUCUUUUAUUCUUAAAGUAGAUGGCUGGCCACCUGCUCAAGUGAGAGACCAGUCGGGAGCAGUGACCAGGUGUCUUAUCUCGCGCCUUGCUCGCUGCAGUGUUAAUAUUAAGUAGAUUCUGAAUGACUCAAGGCGGGUGGGAAUUUACUCCCCACUUAGUUUUUGUCUUGUGUUCACGAGAGUCCAAGCAUUGCAAGUUCCUGAGGGGCAAGUUCAGCCCUGGCAGGAAGGAGACUGCGGCCCACCUCCAGACAUUCCUAAUGCCAGGCCAAUCUUGGGCAGACACUCCAAGUUUGCUGAGCAAAGCAAAGUGGCAUACUCGUGUAAUAACGGCUUUAAACAAGUUCCAGACAAGUCAAACAUAGUUGUCUGUCUUGAAAAUGGCCAAUGGUCGAGCCACGAAACAUUCUGUGAGAAAUCAUGUGAUACUCCAGAAAGACUGAGUUUUGCAUCCCUCAAAAAAGAGUACUUCAACAUGAAUUUUUUCCCAGUUGGUACUAUUGUGGAAUAUGAGUGUCGGCCAGGAUUUCGAAAACAACCUUCACUCUCAGGAAAAUCAACUUGCCUUGAGGAUUUAGUAUGGUCUCCAGUUGCUCAGUUUUGUAAAAAAAAAUCAUGCCCUAAUCCUAAAGAUCUGGAUAAUGGUCACAUCAACAUACCAACCGGCAUAUUAUUCGGUUCAGAAAUAAACUUCUCAUGCAACCCAGGGUACAGGCUAGUCGGUAUCACCUCUAUUUUAUGUACUAUUAUAGGAAAUACUGUUGAUUGGGAUGAUGAAUUUCCAGUGUGCACAGAAAUAUUUUGUCCAGACCCACCAAAAAUCAACAAUGGAAUAAUGCGAGGGGAAAGCGAUUCUUAUAAAUAUAGCCAGGUGGUCAUUUAUUCAUGUGACAAAGGCUUCAUCCUGUUUGGAAAUUCUACCAUAUAUUGUACUGUGAGCAAGUCUGAUGUAGGACAAUGGAGCAGUCCACCACCCCAGUGUAUAGAGGAAUCUAAGGUCCCAAUUAAGAAACCAGUAGUUAAUGUUCCAAGUACAGGAAUCCCCUCAACGCCUCAGAAACCCACAACAGAAAGUGUUCCAAAUCCAGGAGACCAACCAACUCCUCAGAAACCUUCCACAGUUAAAGUUCCAGCAACCCAGCAUGAACCUGAUACCACGACAAGAACAUCUACAGACAAAGGAGAGUCUAACUCAGGUGGUGACCGUUAUAUAUAUGGAUUUGUUGCUGUUAUUGCAAUGAUUGAUAGCCUAAUUAUAGUCAAAACUCUUUGGACUAUUUUAAGUCCAAACAGAAGGUCUGACUUUCAAGGAAAGGAGAGGAAGGAUGUCUCAAAGUAAGAAGAGAGCAAGAAUCCAGUCUCCACCUUUUCAACCUGUUUGGGUGUGUGCUCUAUGAAUUAAAUGGCAGCUGCCCACAUUG